UACGUAGGGGGCAAGCGUUGUCCGGAUUUAUUGGGCGUAAAGAGCGUGUAGGCGGCCCGACAGGUCCGUUGUGAAAACUCGAGGCUCAACCUCGAGACGUCGACGGAAACCGUCUGGCUAGAGUCCGGAAGAGGAGUGUGGAAUUCCUGGUGUAGCGGUGAAAUGCGCAGAUAUCAGGAAGAACACCUAUGGCGAAGGCAGCACUCUGGGACGGUACUGACGCUGAGACGCGAAAGCGUGGGGAGCGAACAGG
rnacentral:rRNA from 1 species